GCCAGGAAUGGUGGCGUACACCUGUAGUCCCAGAUACUUUGGGAGGCUAAGGCAGGGGGAUCACUUAAAGCCCAUGAAUUUGACCAGCCUGGGCAACACAGCAAGACCUGCCUAAA
rnacentral:sRNA from 1 species